UCACAUGUAUGGGAAAGGAUAUUUAAAAGAACUUUUUACUUUGAAUGAUAUAAUCUUCAUCACAAAAUACGCGCAUUUGAGUUAAUUUUAAAAGCAUUAUUAUGAACCCAACAUUUUGAAAAUCCGUGAGGAAUUUAUUUUCAGAUAUGUUUUACUAAAUGGCAGAUGAAAGAAAAAACAAACAGAUUUAAAGAAGAUGCUAGUUCAUUAAAGUGUUCCAACAACUGACUAAACAUCGACUGACAUUGUACAAAUAAUAAAGGGUGAACGUGUAAAACGUAAGAUUAGAGGAAGAAGUGUUAUUCCAAUCCACCUGGCUAACAGGAUCUUUUGUUGGCACGGAAUAUUGAUGGGCUAAUACGUGCACGCCUCUUACACAGGAGCUCUGUAUCUUAGGUUAUCUGAGGCACUUUCUUGUGGGAUGUGAUCCUGAGUGGUUGUCUGGCAGUUACCUGAAUCGAAGGUAGAUUGCUAGAUAAAUAUGGCGUAAUAUUAAAGACACGACAGCGGAAUACGACACUCUUAGGAUCAGUGAAAUCUGCAUCACUGCUCAAGUAAAGAUAAUCAUCACCAGCUUCAUGUAUCAUAUUGGACAUAAUGGAUACGAGCAGAUUUGACUGUGUUCCUGAUUCUUAAAUGACAAGUGACGCUUACUGGCAAAAUGUGGUCCAGACGAAAAGGCAGAUGUCGUUUGCAGUUAAAAAGUACAAUCGUUGAAUAAUAAUAACAAGACUAAGAGAAAUAUUAAUACUAGUUCACUGAAAAUGAUAAA